CCUACGGGGGGCAGCAGUAGGGAAUCUUCCACAAUGGGCGAAAGCCUGAUGGAGCAACGCCGCGUGGGUGAAGAAGGUCUUCGGAUCGUAAAACUCUGUUGUUAGAGAAGAAAGUGCGUGAGAGUAACUGUUCACGUUUCGACGGUAUCUAACCAGAAAGCCACGGCUAACUACGUGCCAGCAGCCGCGGUAAUACGUAGGUGGCAAGCGUUAUCCGGAUUUAUUGGGCGUAAAGGGAACGCAGGCGGGCUGUUAAGUCUGAUGUGAAAGCCUUCGGCUUAACCGGAGUAGUGCAUUGGAAACUGGGAGACUUGAGUGCAGAAGAGGAGAGUGGAACUCCAUGUGUAGCGGUGAAAUGCGUAGAUAUAUGGAAGAACACCAGUGGCGAAAGCGGCUCUCUGGUCUGUAACUGACGCUGAGGUUCGAAAGCGUGGGUAGCAAACAGGAUUAGAUACCCGAGUAGUA
rnacentral:rRNA from 1 species